rnacentral:rRNA from 1 species
GACGAACGCUGGCGGCGUGCUUAACACAUGCAAGUCGACCGGAAAGGCCCUGCUUUUGUGGGGUGCUCGAGUGGCGAACGGGUGAGUAACACGUGAGUAACCUGCCCUUGACUUUGGUAUAACUUCAGGAAACUGGGGCUAAUACCGGAUAGGAGCUCCUGCUGCAUGGUGGGGGUUGGAAAGUUUCGGCGGUUGGGGAUGGACUCGCGGCUUAUCAGCUUGUUGGUGGGGUAGUGGCUUACCAAGGCUUUGACGGGUAGCCGGCCUGAGAGGGUGACCGGCCACAUUGGGACUGAGAUACGGCCCAGACUCCUACGGGAGGCAGCAGUGGGGAAUAUUGCACAAUGGGCGGAAGCCUGAUGCAGCAACGCCGCGUGCGGGAUGACGGCCUUCGGGUUGUAAACCGCUUUCGCCUGUGACGAAGCGUGAGUGACGGUAAUGGGUAAAGAAGCACCGGCUAACUACGUG